rnacentral:rRNA from 1 species
AUUGAACGCUGGCGGCAGGCCUAACACAUGCAAGUCGAGCGAGCGGCGGACGGGUGAGUAAUGUAUGGGGACUGCCCGAUAGAGGGGGAUAACUACUGGAAACGGUAGCUAAUACCGCAUACUAUCGGAUAACCCAUAUGGGAUUAGCUAGUGGGUGAGGUAAUGGCUCACCUAGGCGACGAUCCCUAGCUGGUCUGAGAGGAUGAUCAGCCACAGUGGGACUGAGACAGGGCCCAGACUCCGACGGAGGCAGCAGUGGGGAAUAUUGCGCAAUGGGCGCAAGCCUGUUGCAGCCAUGCCGCGGGUAUGAAGAAGGCCCUAGGGUUGUAAAGUACUUUCAGUCGGGAGGCGUUACCGACAGAAGAAGCACCGGCUAAUUCCGUGCCAGCAGCCGCGGUAAUUC